rnacentral:rRNA from 1 species
GAUGAACGCUGGCGGCGUGCCUAAUACAUGCAAGUCGAGCGAAUGGAUUAAGAGCUUGCUCUUAUGAAGUUAGCGGCGGACGGGUGAGUAACACGUGGGUAACCUGCCCAUAAGACUGGGAUAACUCCGGGAAACCGGGGCUAAUACCGGAUAACAUUUUGACCCGCAUGGUUCGAAAUUGAACGGCUGCUUCGGCUGCCACUUCUGGAUGGACCCGCGUCGCAUUAGCUAGUUGGUGAGGUAACGGCUCACCAAGGCAACGAUGCGUAGCCGACCUGAGAGGGUGAUCGGCCACACUGGGACUGAGACACGGCCCAGACUCCUACGGGAGGCAGCAGUAGGGAAUCUUCCGCAAUGGACGAAAGUCUGACGGAGCAACGCCGCGUGAGUGAUGAAGGCUUUCGGGUCGUAAAACUCUGUUGUUAGGGAAGAACAAGUGCUAGUUGAAUAAGCUGGCACCUUGACGGUACCUAACCAGAAAGCCACGGCUAACUACGUGCCAGCCGCCGCGGUAA